rnacentral:rRNA from 1 species
GACGAACGCUGGCGGCGUGCUUAACACAUGCAAGUCGAACGAAGAGCGAUGGAAGCUUGCUUCUAUCAAUCUUAGUGGCGAACGGGUGAGUAACGCGUAAUCAACCUGCCCUUCAGAGGGGGACAACAGUUGGAAACGACUGCUAAUACCGCAUACGAUCUAAUCUCGGCAUCGAGGAUAGAUGAAAGGUGGCCUCUACAUGUAAGCUAUCACUGAAGGAGGGGAUUGCGUCUGAUUAGCUAGUUGGAGGGGUAACGGCCCACCAAGGCGAUGAUCAGUAGCCGGUCUGAGAGGAUGAACGGCCACAUUGGGACUGAGACACGGCCCAGACUCCUACGGGAGGCAGCAGUGGGGAAUCUUCCGCAAUGGACGAAAGUCUGACGGAGCAACGCCGCGUGAGUGAUGACGGCCUUCGGGUUGUAAAGCUCUGUUAAUCGGGACGAAAGGCCUUCUUGCGAAUAGUGAGAAGGAUUGACGGUACCGGAAUAGAAAGCCACGACUAACUACGUG